rnacentral:rRNA from 1 species
UACGGGGGGGUAAGCGUUGUUCGGAAUUACUGGGCGUAAAGGGCUCGUAGGCGGCCAACUAAGUCAGACGUGAAAUCCCUCGGCUCAACCGGGGAACUGCGUCUGAUACUGGGUGGCUUGAAUCCGGGAGAGGGAUGCGGAAUUCCAGGUGUAGCGGUGAAAUGCGUAGAUAUCUGGAGGAACACCGGUGGCGAAGGCGCCACUCUGGGCCGAAACUGACGCUGAGGAGCGAAAGCGUGGGUAGCAAACAGG